GCGACAGUGGGUUAAAUGCCAUACACAGCUGCGUCCUGAUGAUUGGCUCAGAAGAAGAAGUUCUCAGAUGCGGCGACGGGGGACAUAUACCGUUAAGAAGCGCUUCAGACUGGCCAUCAUUGUGAAGUSGCAGUCCACUGCUAGGCCCAAGCACGACAAGCCUUCCAGACCCCCACCUCUCCCUGCCGCUUCCUCCUCGAUCUCCCCUGCUGCCCCCGCGUUCUGCUGGGCUGUGGGGGGGGGGCUCUCCCAUGGUGCACGCUGCUCCUGUUUCCCCCGGGGGGGUAUCUAAGUUGCCUCCUGUGGACGCAGCAGCUCUGCUCCAGGGUGUGUGUGAGGUGUUACGGGCGGAGUAAGCUCCUCAACGACCUGCAGUACCGCCACAUGGGGGCCUGACGGGUUCCUGUGCUUCAGCUACCAGGUGUAUGCGUCGGGGCUGGCCACACCCUUCACUGGGAUGGUGCAGACUCUUCCCAGCCCCAACCCUGGAGCUAUACAGGAGGCUCGCAGAGCUGCAGGACCUGAUAUCACCCCGACCCCUGUGAGGCACAGAGCCGCUACUCGUACUUCUCAUGUUGUAUAAAGACUUUUGUGUGUUUUGCACUCUUUUAUUUGUAGUAAAUCGUGAGUAGAUGCAUGAUUUUACUUUUGCCUGUUUCUAAUUUGAAUUAAAAUAUUUUUAAUAAAUGUCAGUUUYGCUGUCUAAUAUGGAGUUCAGGGUGGUAGGUAUUAUACAUCUGAAAUAUCCCCCAUGGAUUCCAUAAAUGUACAUUUGAGGUCUUUUCACAAGGACUGGAUGUAACCCUUGUAGUAUUAGGGAAUGCUGUUGGUGGUUGGGAGCAUCCUGGAGAGGCAGCAACAGACUAGGUUUACAUCUGUCAACAAUGAACACUCAACAGUUUGAUAGUUCAGCUGAACAAAUGUACAUUUAGUAAGCAUUUACAUACUGCAAAUUUUCAGGAUGCUGCAAACCACCCCCUUUUAGUAAAACACAGGAAGAAUUCACAGGGGUAAAUGUCCUAUAUUAUUUUGGGAAUAUCCAACACUCGCCGACUGUGUAGCAUUUGUUUCAGUGAUUUAUUGCAGACCAAUGUUUUUACUAUUSUAAUUUGACAGUUUCUAGUUUUAGUUAUUCAAGUAGGUUUUCUAAAA